CUACGGGUGGCAGCAGUGGGGAAUUUUGCGCAAUGGGCGAAAGCCUGACGCAGCAACGCCGCGUGACCGAUGAAGCUUCGAGGAGUGUAAAGGUCUGUCCCAGGGGAAGAAAAAGAUCGAUAUGAAUAAUAUCGGUCAUUGACGGUACCCUGGAAGAAAGCCCCGGCUAACUUCGUGCCAGCAGCCGCGGUAAUACGAGGGGGGCGAGCGUUGUCCGGAAUCAUUGGGUGUAAAGGGCUUGUAGGCGGAUCAGUUAGUCGGAACUUAAAUCCCACGGCUUAACCGUGGAGCUGGUUUCGAUACUGCUGGUCUUGAGUUCGGUAGGGGAAGGCGGAAUUCCUGGUGUAGCGGUGGAAUGCGUAGAUAUCAGGAGGAACACCGAAGGCGAAGGCAGCCUUCUGGACCGAGACUGACGCUGAGAAGCGAAAGCGUGGGUAGCGAACAGGAUUAGAUACCCUGGUAGUC
rnacentral:rRNA from 1 species